GGGUUGGUAGGCACAAAUCAACUUAUGUAAUGGUUAUCAUAUCGAUUCUAAUGUGAUUAAAUUGACUCUCUUCAAGUUAGAAGGGGUUUGGAGUUGGUGUAUUAACUCUAUAAAUAAUUUUUAAUGAAUGUGCUGCAUGCGUCGAAGUAGUUGCCAUUAUACGGGGUAUCUCGUAAGUAUCCCUCUGUCUGAUGUAAAUCCGGUUCUGGCGUCUGAUGUCGACGACCCGUUCCUACUAUACAUUUCCUUUUACCAUACCUUUUUAUUUCAUAUUUUUAAGAGUCAAUCAAAAUCCACUCUAUCUGGCACUGACUUUGACAAAGUUUAACAUGCUUUUGGUUUUAUUUACGUAAAAAGAGUUAGCGGACUGUAGACUUAGAUCACUUAGGCUUGAUUGGAUUUGUACGUAUGGAGCGUAAAUUUUAAAUGAUGUAUAAUUAUUUCCAAUACAGCAGCCUUUUACUAUUUUUAACUGUUGAUAAACAAAAUAAUACUUUAUUCAUUAGCUAUGUUUUUCCCGGUUUUCUAAUUCUACAUUUUCUAUUUUAAUUGAAAUGAGAGACAUCCUGACCAGUUUUAAGUGUAAUGAUAGUAAAGACAUAUAUGAUAUAAAUAUCAAUAUUAUCCAAUACAUUAAAGACUUAAUAGUUAUUCCAUUGACUAAGCUGGUGAACGGGCGUAUAUCCCAACUCCUUAAUGUUGUCCAGAGUGAGUACAGUUUUCAAGAAGGGCGAUGUAAAUGAUAUAAAUAAUUUUCGUCCAAUAUCUAUUAUCCCCACAAUCGGUAAAAUUCUUGAAAAUAUUCUACGAGGACAACCGUUUGUUGUCUGCGGCCCAGUUUGGGUUUAGACGUGGUAGAUCGACUUGUAGAGCGAUUAGUAGAGUUCUUGAUCAGGUUUACGCAGUUUUUGAAGGUAGAGAGUACUCCGGCACAGUCCUAUGCGAUCUUUCGAAAGCGUUCGACUGUGUCCGGUAUCCUGCUCUUCUGAGUAAAUUGCAGAGGUAAGGUGUGGAUUCCUCAUCGGUUGGAUUCCUUCAAAGUUAUCUUUUCAGCAGGAGGCAGAUCGUGGUCCUGAAUGGAAAAUCAUCACAAAUUAGAGUUGUUGAGCAUGGAGUACCUCAAGGAUCCAUUAUGAGCCCUCUUCCAUUCUUGAUCUAUAUAAACGAUCUCCCUGAGCACGUUGCUGACAUAGUUUGUACAUUGUUCGCGGAUGAUACUACUUUUUCUUGUCGAAGUCAUUCUGAGAACGACUUGGUGCACAGGAUCGAGGGGGCCCAGUCCGCGGCUAGUGGUUUCGUGCUAACAAAAUUAACCUCAAUGAAUCUAAAACACAACAAAUUAUAUUUUCCUUACGCGAGUCAACAUUCAACAAUUCAUUACUUGUGAACUGUCUUGGGGUUCUGCUUGAUCCGAAAUUAACGUUCAAGCAGCAUAUUAUUGGUCUUUGUGAGAAGCUCUCCAGAGUGGUGUACUUGUUGCGAGGGAUUAUCUAGCUACGCAAUUUUAGUUUGCGGUCACUCCUCACAUACCGAAAGAGUUUUUUCGAUACAGAGGCGAGCCAUCAGGACGAUGACGCAGUUGAAUUUUUUAUGAUGACGUAAGAGCAAAGUUUAAAGAUCUCCAAAUAUAUUUUAUAAUAUAAUGUGUUUGUUUAAAAGUUGACAAUUAUUUUAAUUUAAUUUAAUUUUUAAUUUAAUUAUCAUAGUAAAAUUGUAUUCAGGUACCUUUUACUCGGACAUUUGCAUACGGCGAUUAUCACGAAUCAUGAAAGGUUAAUAAAAACGUGUGCCCAGUUGUUCUCACAGCUAAAAUUAUUGAUGAUUUUUAAAUUUAUUCAAUAAGCGAUAUGAUUUAUCAAUAUCUUUAUCCAAUACUUCAGCUGCGACUAUUUUGGAGAUAUAGUUGUCAAUUAAAACACUUUGGAUUAUGCAAAAAAUUAACCAGCUACCUAGCAUAUCCAAGAAUCAAAAAAUAAAAGUUACCUAAGUAGUUAUCAGGAUAACAAUUAUAAAAAAAAUGAAAUUGCAUUAAAAUUUUAGAAAAGAACAGCGCCCAUUACUUAAUGAGUUUAAAAGGUGAAAUUGUAAAAUAAAAAUCCCUUAGGUUCCAAUCAAAUACCUAGCAACACCUUCAUUGUAGUAUGUUUAAUAGAAGUUUAAUAGAAGUACAUUUUUUUUGGCUUAAACAAUAGCGUAAAUUGUUGUUCUUUAUAUCAUGUCCAAUGACCUCUGCGUUAUUUUGUAAACUGUUAAUUUUAUUUUAUUUGUACACUGUAUAGUGGAAACCACCUAUUUAGAUAAUUAACCAAUGUAAAAUAAUUUGACGGCAUUUUAUAAAUUAAUUUGCUAUCUGAGCCGUAUUUACACUUGUAUUUUAACCUUUUUCUUUAUUUGGAUAAAUGUUUCGGCCGCUUUCGGGAGUUCGUCGCCGGUGCCUCGGGUGAUUUGGACAAAUGCACAUUAUAGCUUUUUUCUACCCCCGUCUGGAAAAUGCCUAAUUACUCACCGAUCUAGCGUGCGGGAAGUGCCACUUUGCCAUGUCAGUUUCGUUUCCCACGUAUUCGAGCCACUUCGGACAUUUCCGGGAUUUUACCGCACGGGUUUGGGAGCAAUCGGUCAUAUAUUCGUGUUGUUUUGCGAAAAUGUACCCACAAAUUAACGGUCGUAGAAAAAGUAUAGUAUGCAACACGUUCGGUAAAAUUUUUAACUCGCUCCGCUCGUGUCAAAUAAACUCGUGAGUCAAAUGCCGUUUACCGAACUUGUUCCAUAAUAUACUAUUAUGGUUUUCCUAGGUAAUUAACGUGGUAAAAUAAUGAUUUCCGCAUGCUAGAAGGGAGCAGAAAAACGAUGUCGUAUUUGUACCUCGGUUUGUCUCAAAAAUUAAUCCGGAAUUGUUUAUCGUGUUAGUAGGCAAAAUAAUAAGACAGGACGUAUUUAACAAAUUACACUAAUGGCGGCCAAAUUUUGUUAUCCCUAACUAACCAAUUUAUUUUUAGUGUUUCAAUUUAAGUAACGCACUGAGAUCCUCGGUAGUGUUAGUAGACAAAAUAAUAAAGUUCACUUGAUGGUUGCGAAAUAUCGUUAACCCUAAUACUGAAUAAUUGUUUGAAUUUAUAUUUGGAAUAAUACGUGUUGAAAAUAACUUUUAUU